GAUGAACGCUGGCGGCGUGCCUAAUACAUGCAAGUCGAGCGAAGCGGGCACGGGUGAGUAACACGUGGAGAACCUGCUAUAAGACUGGGGUAACCUCGUGGAACCGGAGCCAAACCCGCAACUUAUAGAUGGUUGCAUGCUGCAUUAGCUAGUUGGUAAGGUAACGGCUUACCAAGGCAACGAUGCAUAGCCGACCUGAGAGGGUGAUCGGCCACACUGGAACUGAGAAACGGUCCAGACUCCUACGGGAGGCAGCAGUAGGGAAUAUUCCACAAUGGGCGAAAGCCUGACGGAGCCACGCCGCGUGAGUGAUGAAGGUCUUCGGAUUGUAAAACUCUUUUAUUAGGGAAGCGGUACCUAAUCAGAAAGCAACGGCUAACUACGUGCCAGCAGCCGCGGUAAUAC
rnacentral:rRNA from 1 species